GACGAACGCUGGCGGCGUGCUUAACACAUGCAAGUCGAACGGAAAGGCCCUGCUUUUGUGGGGUGCUCGAGUGGCGAACGGGUGAGUAACACGUGAGUAACCUGCCCUUGACUUUGGGAUAACUUCAGGAAACUGGGGCUAAUACCGGAUAGGAGCUCCUGCUGCAUGGUGGGGGUUGGAAAGUUUCGGCGGUUGGGGAUGGACUCGCGGCUUAUCAGCUUGUUGGUGGGGUAGUGGCUUACCAAGGCUUUGACGGGUAGCCGGCCUGAGAGGGUGACCGGCCACAUUGGGACUGAGAUACGGCCCAGACUCCUACGGGAGGCAGCAGUGGGGAAUAUUGCACAAUGGGCGGAAGACUGAUGCAGCAACGCCGCGUGCGGGAUGACGGCCUUCGGGUUGUAAACCGCUUUCGCCUGUGACGAAGCGUGAGUGACGGUAAUGGGUAAAGAAGCACCGGCUAACUACGUGCCAGCAGCCGCGGUGAUACGUAGGGUGCGAGCGUUGUCCGGAUUUAUUGGGCGUAAAGGGCUCGUAGGUGGUUGAUCGCGUCGGAAGUGUAAUCUUGGGGCUUAACCCUGAGCGUGCUUUCGAUACGGGUUGACUUGAGGAAGGUAGGGGAGAAUGGAAUUCCUGGUGGAGCGGUGGAAUGCGCAGAUAUCAGGAGGAACACCAGUGGCGAAGGCGGUUCUCUGGGCCUUUCCUGACGCUGAGGAGCGAAAGCGUGGGGAGCGAACAGGCUUAGAUACCCUGGUAGUCCACGCUGUAAACGGUGGGUACUAGGUGUGGGGUCCAUUCCACGGGUUCCGUGCCGUAGCUAACGCUUUAAGUACCCCGCCUGGGGAGUACGGCCGCAAGGCUAAAACUCAAAGGAAUUGACGGGGCCCCGCACAAGCGGCGGAGCAUGCGGAUUAAUUCGAUGCAACGCGUAGAGCCUUACCUGGGUUUGACAUGGAUCGGGAGCGCUCAGAGAUGGGUGUGCCUCUUUUGGGGUCGGUUCACAGGUGGUGCAUGGCUGUCGUCAGCUCGUGUCGUGAGAUGUUGGGUUAAGUCCCGCAACGAGCGCAACCCUUGUUCACUGUUGCCAGCACGUUAUGGUGGGGACUCAGUGGAGACCGCCGGGGUCAACUCGGAGGAAGGUGGGGAUGACGUCAAGUCAUCAUGCCCCUUAUGUCCAGGGCUUCACGCAUGCUACAAUGGCUGGUACAGAGAGUGGCGAGCCUGUGAGGGUGAGCGAAUCUCGGAAAGCCGGUCUCAGUUCGGAUUGGGGUCUGCAACUCGACCUCAUGAAGUCGGAGUCGCUAGUAAUCGCAGAUCAGCAACGCUGCGGUGAAUACGUUCCCGGG
rnacentral:rRNA from 1 species